UACGAAGGGGGCUAGCGUUGCUCGGAUUUACUGGGCGUAAAGGGCGCGUAGGCGGACAGUUAAGUUGGGGGUGAAAGCCCGGGGCUCAACCUCGGAAUUGCCUUCAAUACUGGCUGUCUUGAGUGUGAGAGAGGUGUGUGGAACUCCGAGUGUAGAGGUGAAAUUCGUAGAUAUUCGGAAGAACACCAGUGGCGAAGGCGACACACUGGCUCACUACUGACGCUGAGGCGCGAAAGCGUGGGGAGCGAACCGG
rnacentral:rRNA from 1 species